CAUAUUCAGAGCCUGGAGUUGCAGAAAAGGAGUGGUCUAGUGGUUACACCAAGGAAAAGGAAGCGAUUUACUGUGUUGUAACUGGAGUUGGAGAUGCGUGGUUGCUACGUGCAUUCCACUGUGGAUACGCAUGCGCUCCAUAGGCCUGGGGCUGGAGAAUUCUAGCAAUCAGUGUCUGUUGAUCUGAACCUGCAGCCCUGCUCUCCUUGUGCUCCGUCCUGAGGUUGUAAAGGGUGGUUCAGACUGACCGCCUACUCCAGUUCCUUCUCUACUGCGAAUCCAGUCAUAAUCCAAAGCAGAUGGGAAGGAAGUACGUAGUGGAACACACAUAGGGACCAUGCCUCUCUGAGAAUUUCGGUUACAACAAGGUAUGUAACUUUCCCUUCUUCUCUUGUGCUUGUCCCUCAGUGUAUUCCACUGUGGGUGACUGAAAAGCAGUGCUCAAAAAGGAGCAGGAUUGGAGGAUGCAUGUGGUACAGCUGCUUGUAGAACAACUGCCCCAAAGGUUGCAUCAGCAUAGGAGUCUUAGGCCAAGGCAUAAUGUCUUGUAAACAUGCAGAUGGAACUCCACAGAGCUGCCCUGAAAAUGUCAAGGAGUACCACCUGUUGAAGUGAUGCCACUGAGACGCAUUGUGCCCUUGUAAAGUGAGCCCUUACUUUGUGUGGGGCAGGGAGUUGUGCCAACUGGUCGAGCAAGAUACUACCAGAGAUCCACUUAGACUUUCUGGGAGUAUACAGCUUGACCUAGAAUUCAUUCUGCUACAGCAACAAACGGUCUAGGUAACUUUCUGAUCAGUUUUGUUCUCUGCAGACAAAAUGUCAAUGCUCACUGAAUGUUGAGGGAAUGAAGUCUCCUCUCCAUGCCUGAGAGGUGGGGCUUCAGGAAAAAAAAGACACAGAAAAAAGUGAAUUGACUUGUUUAUGUGAAAGUCUGAAAUUAACUUAGGAGUGAAUUAUUGGCAUAGCUGUAGUGAGACUUUGUCCUUAUGCAAUAUUGUUUAUGGUGGAUCAUAUACCUACCAUCCUGGCCAAUGUGUUGGCAAGGAGGAAUGCAACCUUCAUUGAACAGGUAAAGCAUAGAAUAUGUAGUUAGCAGUUCAAAAGGUGAUUUAGUGAGUGGCGAGAGAACUAAAUAUAGGUCCCAGUGAGGGGUUGGUUUCUUUACUGGCAGAAAGGUUCUGAUCAGGCCUUUCAAGAAUCUGGUUGUUACUGAGUGGGUAAAGGUUAAGUAACCAUCCAACGGUGGGGGACAUGCACUGACUGCUGCCAGGUAAAACUUCAGUGAACUGAAGAAAAAGACCUGAUGUCUUAAGCAUAAGGAGACGCUGUAGAAUAGUGGAAAUAUCCAUGAUCUCUGGAAAGAGAUGAUGAAAAAAAACAUUUCCACUUGGCCAAAUAGCAUUUCCUGGCAGAAUACUUUUGGCUAGUAAGAAUAGUUUGCACAAAUUCAGAGCAGGACGGUUCUAGGGUUGACACUCAUCAAAAUAUCAAGCUGUGAGAUCAUGUGCUUUGGGAUUGGGAUGCUGGACUCUGACAUUCACCUGGGUCAAGAGAGUUGUAAAGAACCGGACAUUGAUUGGCGGGCAGGAUGACAUUCGUAGGCAGCCUGGAAACUAGAAUUGCCUGGACCAUUUGUGGGGGCCAUGGGGCUCCAUGCAUUGCCCUGACCCCAAGCACUGGCUCUGCACUCCCACUGGCUGGGAAUUGGCCAAUGGGAGCUGGGGGGGGCAUUGCCUGCACGCCUCCACCUAGGAGUCGGAACUGCUGCUGGCUGUUUCCAGGGUGCAGCACAGUCCACGGUGCCAUGACAGACAGAAAGCCUGCCUCUGCACCCCAGCUGCGCCAUUGACCAAGAGCUGCCGAAGGGUGGACACCUCACAUCGCAUCUUCCCAGCUGACCAUGCCGGCUUUCUGCAGCAAACGCGCUCCCACCUGCAGUACAUCAGAGUUGUUGGAUCUGUAGGGACUGUGGGGAGAGGAAGCUGUGCAGUCGCAGCUCCGAUCCAGCCACAAAAACUUUGACACCGACAAGCAGACAGCUCGUGGCAUGGAUAAGAAAGGGCACAAAAGGGACAAAGCAGUGCCAUGCUAAGAUCAAGGAGCUGAGGCAGGUGUACCAGAAGGCAAGGGGGGCCAACCAUCUGUCUGGUGUAAUGCCAAAAACAUGCCACUUCUACAAGGGGCUGCACACCAUCCCCGGCAGCAACCCCACGUCCACCACCAAAAACCCCGCAGAUACUUCGAGGGUACUGGAGGCAGCCGAGUCAACCCCAAGGACGAAGCGGUGGAUGAGGAGGUUGAGCUGGAGGACGAGGUGAGACAGGCAACAGAUUCGUCUGGUGGCGUGGCAGCCAGGACCUCUUUUUGACUCCAGAGUUGUUUAGCCAGUUCCACCUCUGGCGUCCCUGAAGCUGGAGAGGAGAGCUCCGAUGUGCCCUUGAGGGCCAGCUCCACACCAGCACAAUGCCUCCAUCAGAUAAAGUAGUGAACGAGGAGGAAUAAGGAGGACAUAUUUCAUAAAGUGCUGCAAUCAUCAGAUCAGGCCGAUAGCGAGCAUGGAGAGACACAAUCGAAAUACUAGAAAUGAAUAGCCAGCAGAUGAUACAGGGCCAGGAGCAGAUAAUAACUUUCAUGUAGAACCAAACAGAGAUGCUGAGGUCCCUGAUUGCACUGCAGGGGGAACACGUGUGCUCGACUCCCCCUGUAGCCCAUACAGAACUGCCUUCCUUGCUCUCCCAAAACUUCCGACACACAUUCCUCUCACGUUCCUGGCCUGUCACAGUAACCCUUGUACUCCACCGCAGGGACAUUUUCCAUAAUGACUGCUGGACUUACACAGCUGUGAGAUCCUCACUUCAGAGAGUGCUGCUCACUGUCAUGUCCCUUGUAAGAAAUGUUAAUCUGUGUA